rnacentral:snoRNA from 1 species
CCGGUGGAUGACGAGGACCUGAUUGUGCAUAUCUUCACCCAACUUGGUGAUGAAUAAAAUUCAGUUGUGGCAGUGCUCCGUGUGCGGACUGAGGCUAUUUCAUUCGGUGAACUACAUGAUGUGCUCAUAGACU